GGGGACGUAGCUCAGCUGGUAGAGCAACCGACUUUUAAUCGGUAGGUCCAGGGUUCAAAUCCCUGCGUCCCCA
rnacentral:tRNA from 1 species